rnacentral:rRNA from 1 species
AUGGUGAGCGGGGCGGCGCCGCCGCCGCCGCCGGAGAGUGGUGCAGGGAGCAGUAGUGGCGUGGGAAGGGAGGAGACGAAAGGGAAGGGCAGUGCGCGCGGGCGGGGGAGCAGGAAGGCGAGCCGGCCGCGGUUCGCGUUCCAGACCAAGAGCGAGAACGACGUCCUCGACGACGGCUACCGGUGGAGGAAGUACGGCCAGAAGGCCGUCAAGAACAGCGCCUUCCCCAGGAGCUACUACCGGUGCACGCACCACACAUGCAACGUGAAGAAGCAGGUGCAGCGGCUGGCCAAGGACACGAGCAUCGUGGUGACCACGUACGAGGGCGUCCACAACCACCCCUGCGAGAAGCUCAUGGAGGCCCUCAACCCCAUCCUCAGGCAGCUUCAGUUCCUCUCACAGCUCUAA